GAGACACCCUUAUGGGGCAGGACUUGCUUCAGUGGGGCUUUGGUGCUCACUGAGUCUGACCCUGAGUGUGUCUCU
rfam:Myotis lucifugus cont2.29806, whole genome shotgun sequence.